UGUAUUUCUAUAUUUCAGGGUUAUGACCCCUCAUUCUGGACAUGGAAAAAGAGGGGGCUGGAAAAAUCGAACACUUGUAUGUAUGAAUUACGUUAUUUCUCCAAAAAUCCAAGUUCUGCUAUACUUUGAUUCAGCAGUUAUAAUAACAAUGGCUAUAAAGCUGAAAAUAUAUAUAUUCGCAACUGACUUCUCAUCAUUGGUCCGUAGAAUCUUUUUUAACCUAUAGUUUUCUUUCGACAUUGAUGUGGGCAGCUGAUUACCGCACGAGAGACCCUUUAUUAUGUUAACCAAAACAGCACUUUAAGAAUGCGACUUAAUAAACAAAGACAACAACGGCAACAUGAAUAAUAGCACCAACGGCAAUAACAACAACAGGAACAAAACGACAACAACAACAAUACAACAGUAGCAGAAGCAAUAACAACAACCAUAACAAGAAAAACAUGAUAAUCACAAAAGACUUGAGAAAAACACCAAACUCAACCAUACAUACAAAACAGUUGAACAUGACGUCUUUAUAUCAGUAAUAUUCAAUAAACAGUGUCAACAUUAAGUUUGUAGCGAAGGCAUCAAG